rnacentral:rRNA from 1 species
AAGCAGUUCGUAGGCGGUUUGUUCGCGUCGAUUGUGAAUACCCGGGGCUCACUUCGGGCUUGCUGGCAAUAUGGGCAGACUUGAUUGUGUCAGGGGAGACUGGAUUUCCUGGUGUAGCGGUGAAUUGCGCAGAUAUCAGGAGAAACCCCGGGGGCGAAGGCGGGUCUCUGGGAAACAACUGACGCUGAGGAACGAAAGCUGGGGUAGCAAACAGGAUUAGAUACCCUGGUAGUCCACGCCGUAAACGGUGGGCGCUAGGUGUGGGUUCCUUCCACGGGAUCUGUGCCGUAGCUAACGCAUUAAGCGCCCCCCCUGGGGAGUACGGCCGCAAGGCUAAAACUCAAAGGAAUUGACGGGGGCCCGCAAAACCGGGGAAGCAGUUGGAUAAAUUCGAUGCACCGCGAAGAACCUUACCUGUCUUUGACUUACAAGGAAUAUCCGGAAAGAUACUGUCCCCCUUGUGAACGGUGUAAAGGUGGUUCCUGGGUUUCCUCCCCUCGUGUCUUGGGAUGUUGGGUUAAAUCCCCCAACGAGCGCAACCCUUGUCUUAUGUUUCCCGCACGUAAUGGUGGGGACUCCUAAGAGACUGCCGGGGUCAACUCGGAGGAAAGUGGGGACGACGUCAAGUCUCCUGCCCCUUAUGUCCAGGGCUUCACACAUGUUCAAUGGCCAGUACAAAGGCUGCGAGACCGUGCAGGUGCACGAAUCCCUUAAAGCUGGUCUCAAUUCGGAUCGGGGUCUGCAAUCGACCCCGUGAAAUCCGAAUCCCUAGUAAUACGCAGAUCAACAACGCUGCGGUGAUACGUUCCGGGCCUUGUACACACCGCCCGUCACGCAUGGAAAGUCGGUACACCGAGGCGGUGCCUACCUCUU